AACGCACCUUGCGCCCCUUGGUAUUCCGAGGGGCACACCCGUUUGAGUGUCGUGAAAACCUCAACCUCUUUGGUUUCCUUCUGGGGACCAAAGCAGGCUUGGACUUUGGAGGCCUUUUGCUGGCACCUCUCUCUUUUGAAGGCCAGCUCCUCUUAAAUGAAUUAGCAGGGUCCUCUUUGCCGAUCCUCGACGUGUGAUAAGAUGUUUUUCCAUGUCUUGGUUUCUGGCUCUGUCACCUUUGGGACCCGCUUCUAACCGUCUUGACCUUGCGUCGAGACAAUGUUCGAGCAUGUCUCCCCAUUCUCGGGAAGCUCCCUCGACCCCACGAACCCCUUGACCUCAAAUCGGGUGAGACUACCCGCUGAACUUAA
rnacentral:misc_RNA from 1 species